rnacentral:rRNA from 1 species
GAUGAACGCUAGCUACAGGCUUAACACAUGCAAGUCGAGGGGUAACGAGAGGAAAGCUUGCUUUCCUUGUCGACGACCGGCGCACGGGUGAGUAACGCGUAUCCAACCUGCCCCCAACUAGGGAAUAACCUUGCGAAAGUAAGACUAAUACCCUAUAAUUUCCUCAGAUGACAUCUGACGAGGAAUAAAGAUUUAUCGGUUGUGGAUGGGGAUGCGUCUGAUUAGCUUGUUGGCGGGGUAACGGCCCACCAAGGCAACGAUCAGUAGGGGUUCUGAGAGGAAGGUCCCCCACAUUGGAACUGAGACACGGUCCAAACUACUAGGGGAGGCAGCAGUGAGGAAUAUUGGUCAAUGGGCGGAAGCCUGAACCAGCCAAGUAGCGUGCAGGAUGACGGCCCUAUGGGUUGUAAACUGCUUUUAUACAGGAAUAAAGUUAGCCACGUGUGGUUAUUUGUAGGUACUGUAUGAAUAAGGACCGGCUAAUUCCGUGCCAGCAGCCGCCGUAA